GAUGAACGCUGGCGGCGUGCCUAAUACAUGCAAGUCGAGCGAACGGACGAGAAGCUUGCUUCUCUGAUGUUAGCGGCGGACGGGUGAGUAACACGUGGAUAACCUACCUAUAAGACUGGGAUAACUUCGGGAAACCGGAGCUAAUACCGGAUAAUAUUUUGAACCGCAUGGUUCAAAAGUAAAAGACGGCCUUGCUGUCACUUAUAGAUGGAUCCGCGCUGCAUUAGCUAGUUGGUAAGUUAACGGCUUACCAAGGCAACGAUGCAUAGCCGACCUGAGAGAGUGAUCGGCCACACUGGAACUGAGACACGGUCCAGACUCCUACGGGAGGCAGCAGUAGGGAAUCGUCCGCAAUGGGCGAAAGCCUGACGGAGCAACGCCGCGUGAGUGAUGAAGGUCUUCGGAUCGUAAAACUCUGUUAUGAGGGAAGAACAUAUGUGUAAGUAGCUGUGCACAUCGUGACGGUACCUAAUCAGAAAGCCACGGCUAACUACGUG
rnacentral:rRNA from 1 species